rnacentral:lncRNA from 1 species
CUGCCUUUGCUGUAUUGUGGAAGUUAGGUUGGUAAGUCUGUCCAAGAACGCCCUCAACUUGAGCUGACAGAUUAAAGAACCUGAAUUGUACUUCCAAGUGGGCGAAACUGUCGUUGGAAGGUAUCUGGUAAUUGUGGAUUCUGUUAUCUUCCUCCGUCACUGGAAUCACAUUAACUGAUAUCUCUACAGCUUCUGAGAGGGUGACUGUGGCGCUGUUCUUGCUUGCAAUCCUCUCCACUUUGAGAUUGUUCUCUGGAGAGGUCCAUUCCGAGUAAAGGCCUUCUGGAAUGGAUAAAGCUUCUCCAUCGUAAGAGAACUGCAAGUGAUCCUCCUCGUUGUCCCAUUUUUCUGUUCUUGUGGCUUCAAGGGUAAAGGUGUGAGAGCCAAACAUGAGACCCAAGGCCUGGAUCCAUGUAUAGUCCCGGGUUCUUCCAGCAGGGCGGAGACCAAUGAAUCGGGAAUUGAUUUGGAGAUUGAUAUCAGAGACCAGGCUGAAAUGCUCAUUGCCCUUGCCAUGGAAGUAGAACACAAUGCCAUCUCCACCUAUGAAGCGAGGGUCAAAGCAGGCAGCUCCCACGCCAUUGCAAUUUGGUUUACGUCCUGUUUCAUCAAUAAUAAUACAGAUUACUUCCGUUUUCUUGAUAAUUCAAGGCAGUCAUUGUAAACAGUUACUAAAAUUUGCAAGCAUAAUUCAUACCUCUGCAAACAGCCUCACAUUUGGGGGAGUAACAAUCAAGAAAGCAUCCCUUAGAUUUCCCAUCUUUAGGUUGGACCUGGGGACACUGAGCUGGGCAUGUUACAUAUUUCAAAAAGCAUUUGCUACCAUGGUUGUAGCAUGUCACACGCUGUGGUUUGACAGGCCGUGUUGGAUUGGCUCCCGGAGGUGUUUUGCCAGUACCUGCCCGUGUUUCCGUCACCCCCAAUGAGACACAUAAUAGCAGAAGGAUCACCAUGGAUUGAAUGCUUGAUGCCUUCAUUUUUUUUUCCCUCUAAUGGCAAAAAAGAAGACUCAAAGCAGUUAAUAAGAGAAAUGAAACUGAUACUAAGUCGAUCCAUACUCUUGCUGUUUAUAUAGGUUUAGAAAGUGGAUUAAUGCUAAAUUUUGAGGAUUGGUUUUCCUUGAAUCUACAGGAAAAAUGAGUGGGAAAUUAACAAACAAAUUAUAAUUAAGAUGGAUUGAGUUUGGUUUUUGAAGACUUUAUCUUGCCAUGUGGUGGUGGUAAGUGGCCAAACAAUUGCCUGAAAUUGAAUGAAGCAAAAUUUGAGCACACCCUUUUGAAGUCAAUGAUGUCUAGUCGGAGAGAUGAGAGACCCACAGUUGGGUAUGGACUAAUAUGAAUUAAUAUUCUAACAUGUCUGCGGUGGGACAUAUACUUCUUUAAGCUUUUCAACCUUUGAUAGAAUUACAGUGUAUAUCCUAAUCCUCAGGUCCAAUACAAUAAUAAGAAACCCACAUUUCCAGUGGACGUCGUCUUUGCUUUUUGACGUGGAACAACGUGAUCUCCCAAUGAAAUAUUGACUUUGAAGUAUGUAUUCAGUGAACGCCUCUGGUUUGGUUUGACAACUUGCUAUGGUGCGAGUACGACUACCAAAUUAUUGUCAAAUGAUCAAAUUAACCUCUUGCUACCAUUAAAAAGACAUACACUGUGAACCCCAUGAGUUUUAAUUAGUAAUAUUAAUUUUGUGGGAGACCUCUCAGGCUCUCACUUGUGUGUUAAUACAUUAGGAGGUCCUUUCUUUUCUUGUUUUUCUUUUUCACAUGUAUGUUGGCUUUUGAAAAUUUUUAGAAGUUUUAAAGCUAAUUUUGGAUAAAUUAAAAGUUCAAUGUUAGGCUUUUAUGAUAUUAUACCCUUUUUUUUUUUGGGUCUACAUGCAUGCACUCGGGUGCCUAUGUGUGCCUUACCAAGUCAAACUUUCUUUAGCAUCAAGACCCUUCAUCAUGUGUUGUGGGUAUCAUGUCCUUGUCAACCCAAGGUUCAUGCAUACGAGCAUAUCCCAUCGUUAACAUGCACCCCAUGCACCAAGUUACCAAUAUCCCUUAUUUACUUAGCCACACAACUCAUAUCCUAUAUUUGUCAUGCCUCUUAUCUCUAUGUAUGCGUCUUGGUUGAGCUACUUAUCACGGACUUAGAUUUUUUUUUUUUUUUUUUUUUUUUUUAAGCUCAUGCAAUACUUAGACAAGUCAAGACCCUUAAUCUUGCUAAGUAAGUCUUACUCCCGAUGCUUAAUUUGUUAGGGUAAGACGCACCUAUUUAGAAGCUUUAAAGGGCAUAGUAUACAACACUUAAAAGAAUAGAAGUUUUAUUGCUUUCAAAGGAAGUUAUACAAUGCUUAAAAGCUCACUUGUUUGGUUAGGAAAUUAUUUUUGGUGGUUUUGGACGAUGUCUUGACCAAAUGAAGCUCUCACCUAUUUAUAGGCACUAAUAGAACUCUUUGAAACCCACAAAGGUUCCCUACUAUCUUAGAAUUAUUUAGAAGACUCUAUACAAAAGUUAUGUACAAGUAUUUACAAGACAUGUUUGGAAGUUUUUAGAAUUUCUCAUAGGCUUCCCUUGUCUUCCACCCUUGAUGUAGAAAAGUGUGGGUGCCUCUAGACUUUUCUAGAACAUUCCACACUCUUCCCACCAAUAACUAAGUGUAGAUGGUUCUAAGAGUUCCAAAAGUUCCAGAAGUUUCCUCCCCUCUAUAUAAGCCCAUGGGGAGGGUCAUUUGAAGCAUCUUGUGAUAUAUUGCACACUUAAGUGUAUGCAAGCCCUAAUAGUAUGCCCAUACUAGGCCAUAGUCAUUCCCUUAGGUUACACCAAGUGAGAUUAUCACCCUCUUUAAAGAGAAUUCUAAAUCAUUUUCAAUUUGUUAGUAGGAGACAUCAAAGAUGCUUCAACAGACAAUGAAUUUUCUUUAAUUAUAAAAAACUUGAAAAAUACUCCAUUUGGAUAAUUCCUUUAGGCUAUGUUUAGUUCUCAGAAAAUUUGAGGGAAAAUGCAAGGGAAAGAAAAUACAAAGGAAAAAUAGAAGGAAAGAAAAAGUGAAAGAAAAUAAAAAAUGGAUUAAAAAUUGAUAAGUUAUUUUUAUUUUUUACUUCAAAUUCAUUUUAUUUAUUUUAACUCAUCAAUAUAAAGAUUAAAUAAUUUUAAAAUACAUAAAUUUUUAAUUAGUUUUAAUUAUAUUUUAUUUUCUUUUAUAUUUUUUAUAGGACAACCAAACAUGAAAAAAUCAUUUUUCUUUACAUUUUUUUUCUUUCCUUAAUAUUUUCCGGGAACCAAACAUAACUUUUAGGUCUCCAACAACUCACGGAACUUAUCAAAGCGACAACAUGCACCCAACACUCACUGUGUUGAACCCAAAUGAAUGUGCCAUCAGGAGUUGUCAUCACCAUCUACACUAUGCUCACGAGUCAUGCAACGUGUGUUGGCAUUGUUGUAUGCCCUUAAAUGCAACACACUACCUGCUACCCACCAUGCACACCCUUUCUUUGAUCAAGCCACUUAGUCUGCUUUGCUUUGAUCCUUCAAGAUUGCCUUAAACCUAGUUCCCAUUAAUACAUGUCAUUGGAAACCGCAACUUCCACCAUCAAUGUGUUCUCCAAGCACAACACCUUGUUUGAGUACUUUAGAUAUACCAUCACUAAUUGCAAGCCUUCAGUCAUGUGGAUUCAGGGUGUCGUCACACAUGUCUAUCAGGAUGACCAUAAAUAAGCUAUACUUUCUCUAAUGCUUUAUCAGAAUUUUUGAGACCUGGAAGUUUAUCAUGUCUUAUACUUAAGUUCAGGAUGACGAUAAAUAAGAGGCUAAGAAAAAGAUAACAAAGUUAAUAUAAGAAAAUUACAGAAAAUGUCAUUUUAGGUAUGCUGCAAUGGUUUUGCACUUACCAUGGAAGGUAGUCAUCCUUCAAAAGUUUCAAUAAUAUUGUCUGGCAUUUCACAGGAUUGGCACAAACUGAUACAGAUCAGAUAGGUUUUGCCCAAUGUCUUUGAUUGAAUUUUCCAACCAGAGACUAGAAGAUAAAACCAUCUUGUAGUGGAAAAGCAACAUUUUAACUACAUGCCUGGACCAAACUUGGAAUAGUCCAAGCUUAUUCUCCAAGGAAAAUUCGUUACGGUCAUUUCUAAACACUUAUCCGUCACGGCAGUUUUAUUGUGAUAAUUAGCUUCUACAGAAAUCCCUAAAAACUAUUUCUAACAAACAUCACAUGAGACUGAGAGCAGCAGAGCAGUCAUUCAUUUCCUGCACACAAUUCCAUUGCCGCUGCCAACCCCACUGGUGCAAUCAAGUGCGGCAUAUUGCAUAGAUAGUAAGCCCUCUAGCGCCACGUUUGCAGCUGGCAGAGAACAGGCAAGACCUACGGUCUGCGGACAGAAGAGAACCGGUCCUGUACUUGUCCGCCCCACCAACCUUUGUAACACCUGGUUUUGCUGGAUUGUGGAAGUUAGAUAGGUUGGUAAGUCUGCCCAAGAACGCCCUCAACUUGAGCUGACAAACUGAAGAACCUGAACUGUACUUCCAACUGGGUGAAACUGUCAUUGGAAGGUAUCUGGUAGUUGUGGAUUCUGUUAUCUUCUUCCGUCACUGGAAUCACAUUAACUGAUAACUCCACAGCUUCUGAGAGUGUGACAGUGGCUCUGUUCUUGCUUGAAAUUCUCUCCACUUUGAGAUUAUUUCCUGGAGAGGUCCAUUCCGAGUAAAGGCCUUCUGGAAUGGAUAAAGCUUCUCCAUCAUAAGAGAACUGCAAGUGAUCCUCCUCGCUGUCCCAUUUUUCUGUUCUUGUGACUUCAAGUGUAAAGGUGUGAGAACCAAACAUUAGACCCAAGGCCUGGAUCCAUGCGUAAUCCCGGGUUCUUCCAGCAGGGCGGAGACCAAUGAAUCGGGAAUUGAUUUGGAGAUUGAUAUCUGAGACCAGGCUGAAAUGCUCAUCGCUCUUGCCAUGGAAGUAGAACACAAUGCCGUCACCACCUAUGAAACGAGGAUCAAAGCAAGCAGACCCCACACCAUUGCAAUUUGUUUUACGCCCUGUUUCAUCAAUAACAAUAUAUAUUACUUCUAUUUUCCUGAUUAUUCAAGACUUUGUCGUGGUUCAUGAUCUGGAAAAUAAUGUCACAGGAUGCUUCAAAUGACCCUCCCCAAUGGCUUAUAUAGGAGGAGAGAAGCUUCUGGAGACUCCUAGAGCCAUCUACACUAAGCCAUUGGUGGGAAGAGUGUGGAAGGUUCUAGAAAUGCCUAGAGAUGUCCACACAUCUCUACACUAUGGUAGAAGGCAUGAGAAGGGUCCAAAGCUUUCUAGAGAAAUCUAGAAGUCUCUUGAAUAUUCUAGAAUAGUGUAGGACAUUCUAGAAUAUUCAUGAAUUGUAAGGAACCCUCCAAGGUUCUAGAGAGUUCCAUUGGUGCCUAUAAAUAGGUGAGGGCCUCAUUUGGCCAAGGCACCAAGCAAGUGAGCAUCCAAGCACUUGUAAAGGUUUCCUUGAGUUAGUGAAAGCUUCCAUUCUUUCAAGAGUUGCCUACCAAGCUUCUUAAGCUUUUGAGUCACGAGUGUCUUAGCCGAGCAAGCUAAGCAUUGGGGAGCAAGGCUGACUUAGCAAGAUCAAGCGUCUUGGCUUGUCUAAGUGCCGCACGAGCUUAGUGAACGACUAAGUCCGUGACAAGUGGUAUCAGAGCGCGGUUACGAGGUGGGCAUAGCAAAGGAAGCAUGUCGGGCUCUAACGUGGAAGAGACUAGUGAGCAAACCCGCGGAAGGGAGACCGAGCCUACUGCACGGGGCAGGGGUAGGAAGGAUAAGUCUCGUGAUGCCGUUGCCAACAUGGAGGCAAGGUUAGCCAAGGUGGAGCUAGCCAUGGCGGACACUCGGGAGGGGUUGGACUUGAUCGAGCAAGGCAUGGAGAAGAGCUUAGAAGAUCUAAGGGAACAGAUCCAAGACCUUCGCGAGGGGGUGCUAGUCUCACAGGUUCAACCAGUGUCGCACGAGGAGUUUGUGUCCUUCCAAGGAAAGGUCUUGAGCAUGCUUGCUAGCAUGGAGUCAAGGAUAGAGGCCUUGGCUACUCGAAUGGAGUCCCGAGACUAGGAAGUUAGGCAGGAGUUGGCCAUCUACAAGGCUGUUGUGUCGGCACGGGUCAUGGCCACACAGGAGGCAUCUAGGGUGGAGGUGCCGAAGCCACAUAGGUUUAGUGGCAAUCGGGAUGCCAAGGAGUUGGAUAACUUCUUAUGGCAUAUGGAGCGAUACUUUGAGGCUAUCGCAUUGACGGAUGAGGCGGCUAAGGUGAGAACUGCGACCCUCUACCUUACUGACACAGCUACUCUAUGGUGGCGUCGAAGGUUUGCCGAUAUGGAGAAAGGCAUUUGCACCAUAGAGACGUGGGAGGACUUCAAGAGGGAGAUCAAGAGGCAGUUCUACCCCGAGGACAUGGCUUACCUGGCUAGGAAAAACAUGAGGCGUCUCAAGCACACAGGUCCGAUACGUGACUAUGUCAAGGAAUUCUCUUCGCUCAUGCUUGAGAUUCCUAACAUGACUCAGGAGGAGUUGCUAUUCAACUUCAUGGAUAACCUGCAAGGGUGGGCCGAGCAGGAAUUAAGGCGCCGAGGCGUUCAAGACUUAGCCACUGUUAUGGCAAUAGCAGAAUCUUUAACAGAUUAUAAAAGGGGAGACUCCUUCAAGGAUGAGUCUUUGGAGGAUAGCCACGCCAUGGGUGGGGGAGACGAGGUUCCAAGGGACCACAAUGCUCCUAAAAAGGGAUCAGGCAAGACGUAUACCGUCCGAGAAGGAAGGGAUAAGGCGGAAAGGAAGGAGUUUACGCCUAAAAUCAAAUGCUUCCUAUGUGACGGUCCACAUUGGGCACGGGAUUGUCCAAAGAGGAAGGCGCUCAGUGCCAUGAUCGAGGAGAUGGAGCAGGAGGACGAAGCACAUAUGGGCUCAAUGCAGCUACUAGGUGCCUUCCAAUUCAACCCGAAAGCUAGUACGCCUGAGACCUCCUUACUAGCAGGGGUGCAAGUAAAGGAGGAAAAAGGGAAGCGAGCUGAGGUAGCCCGCACACACAUGGAAGAGGUCACCAAGGGAAAGGUGAACUCAAUGGGUAAGAGGAAGCAGCACUCUAAGCAUCGAAAGCGCACGGGUCUGCAUCCAUCUGGAGCCUCACGGGAGAAGGAGGUGAAGAAUAUCCUGGCUGAACGGGUCACCAGGAGACAAGGGGUCCCUCCUGUGAUAGAGUAUCUAGUCCGAUGGAAAGGACUACCUAAGAGGCAGGUAAGUUGGGAACAUGCGGAUGCCUUAAGAAAAUUCUGGAAACACAUCGAGAGGUUUCAGAAUGAGGCAACGACGAGGACGUCGACGGCAUCGGUGGGGGAGAGUGUCACAGGAUGCUUCAAAUGACCCUCCCCAAGGGCUUAUAUAGGAGGAGAGAAGCUUCUGGAGACUCCUAGAGACAUCUACACUAAGCCAUUGGUGGGAAGAGUGUGGAAGGUUCUAAAAAUGCCUAGAGAUGUCCACACAUCUCUACACUAUGGUAGAAGGCAUGAGAAGGGUCCAAAGCUUUCUAGAGAAAUCUAGAAGUCUCUUGAAUAUUCUAGAAUAGUGUAGGACAUUCUAGAAUAUUCAUGAAUUGUAAGGAACCCUCCAAGGUUCUAGAGAGUUCCAUUGGUGCCUAUAAAUAGGUGAGGGCCUCAUUUGGCCAAGGCACCAAGCAAGUGAGCAUCCAAGCACUUGUAAAGGUUUCCUUGAGUUAGUGAAAGCUUCCAUUCUUUCAAGAGUUGCCUACCAAGCUUCUUAAGCUUUUGAGUCGCGAGUGUCUUAGCCGAGCAAGCUAAGCAUUGGGGAGCAAGGCUGACUUAGCAAGAUCAAGCGUCUUGGCUUGUCUAAGUGCCGCACGAGCUUAGUGAACGACUAAGUUCGUGACAAUAAGCUGUAGAUCUACUAAAAUAACAGUGACAUUUAUGAACUAAUUAAACGUCAGUUAUGAAUUCAUACCUCUGCAAACAGCCUCACAUGUGAGGGAGUAACAAUCAAGAAAGCAUCCUUUGGAUUUCCCAUCUGCAGGUUGGACCUUAGGACACUCCACCGGGCAUGUCGCAUACUUCAAAAAGCAUUUGCUACAGCGGUUGGAGCAUGUCACACGCUCUGGUUUGACAGGUCAUGUUGGCUUGGCAUGCGGUGGUGGUUUGACAGGUGCCAUGUUGGCACGGCAUGCAAUGGUAGUUUGACAGGUGCUGUUGGUUUGUGGAUUUUUGGUAAAUGUAUGGACUUUUUAAAAAUUAUUUUCUAAAAUAAUGUAGAUUGGAAAAUAAUUCCAAGCACUUUUGCCGGGAGAAGUGAAAAGAAAAUAUAUUAUAUUUUAACUUUUAUAUCGGAACCUACUUCCAUUUUUUUUUAAUUUGAUUUUAUAUUAAAUGUGUUUUUUCAAGAGAUAUUUUCAUAAUUUUUAAAUAUACAAUAUACACUUAAAAGAAUUAAAUUUAAAUUAAAGGGAUCUUUUUAAGAGACAAUUUCUAUAAUUUAAAAAAUUGAAUUUAUAAUAAAAGGUGUCUCUUGAAAAGAUAAUUUGCAUAAUUCCAUAAAAUUUAAUAUAUAUUUAAGGUGUCUCUUGAAAGGAUAUCUUUCACAAUUUUAUAAAUUUUAAUUUAUACUAUAAGUGUCUUCCGAAUUUGAUUUUAUAUAAAAAGUGUCUCUUUGAAGGUACACCUUUCAUAAUUUCAAAAAAAUCUAAUAUAUACUAAAGGUGUCUCUACACCUUCCACAAUUUCAUAAAUUUUAAUUUAUAUUAUAAUUGUUUCUUAAUUUUGAUUUUAUAUUGAAGGUAAACACUUUUUACAAUUCCAAAAAAAAUUGAAUUUAUACUAAAAGGUGUCUCUUAAAGAGACACCUUCUACAAUUCCACAAAAUCUAAUAUAUAUUAAAGGUAUUUCUUCAAAAGACAUCUUCUAUAUAAAAUCAAAUUUAAGAAACACUUGUAGUAUAAAUUAAAAUUUAUGAAAUUAUAGAAGGUGUCUCUUGAAGGGACACUUUUAGUAUAUAUUGGAUUUUACGAAAUUAUGAAAAAUGUCUUUUCAAAAGAUAUUUUUAAUAUAAAUCCAAUAUUUUGGAAUUAUAGAAAAUGCCUACUAAAUAGACAUUUUUAGUUUAAAUUCAAUUCUUCUAAGCGAAUAUCAUAUAUUUAAAAAUGAUGAAAGAUGUUUCUUCAAAAACAUUUUUCAUGUGGUGAAAAUUACGUAAAUCUAUCAAUAAUUUUUCAAUUGCCAUUUUUAAAGAAUUAUUUUAUAAAGUUGUCGUAUAAGUUUAAAAACCCCCCCUUGGUUUGUCACUAGCCGCAAGUGUUUCCAUCACCACAAUGACACACAUAAAAGCAGAAUGAUGACCAUAGAUUGAAAGCAUGAUGCCCUCAUUCCCCCCCUAAUUGGCGAAAAAGAAAACUCAGAACAGUUAAGAAAGAAAUGCAAUUGAUAUGAAUUUGAUCCAUACUCUUGAUGCUUAUACAGGAUUUAGAAAAUGGAUUAAUGCUAAAUGUGGAGAACCGACUUUCUUUGAAUCCGCCGGAAAAGGAGUGGGAAACUGGCAAACAUAUUAACCAAGAUGGGCUGCGUUUGGUUUUUAAAACACUCUCUUGACCCGGUGGUAAGUAGCCAAACAUUUGCCUGAAAUUAAAGCAAAACUUGAGGGCUUCCUGUGAAGUCUUUGUUGCCUGGUCGUAGGCCCGCAGUCGGCGGUGACUAUUAAUGAACUAUGCCUCUCGCUUUUCAACCUUUGUUAGAAUAAUUUGUAUAUAUAUCCUAAUUUAUGUGUAAUUAUCAUAUUUAGACACAUUCCCACUACAUAUUGUCUUUGCUUUUGACAUUGAAUAAUGUGGUCUCACAAUCAAACAUCGACUCGGAAGUAAGCGUUCAGCCGUUCAGUGAAGGGGUAGGGCAUGGUUUGACAAAAUUUCUAAAUGCCCAUUAAUCUUUGGUCAAUUGGUCAAAUCAAUUAACCUCGUACUGCACCCACUACUAAAAGACAUAUAGGUUUGCAUUCAGUCAAAUAAGAAAAUGUAAAUUAGUAAAGUAUAUUUCUCUUUAAUUAAUCUUAACCAAGAAGUUAAAAGCCUCCAAAACUUAAUAAAAAGAAAAUUAAUUAUCCUAUAAUCAAGGCCCAUGGCUACUUACAUGUCAAAAGCAAAUUAUUUUGGUUAAAGAUUUAAAGAUUGUGUUGCCUAUAAUAUAUAUAUUUUUUUCAUAUUUAGAUCGGUCAUAAUUGAUAAACAAACUAAAUUUUCCAAAUAAUGAAAAUUUUUAUUUAAUUAUUUCUUAUCUCUAUAAUCAAUAAUAAAGUAUACACUAACUACACUACUAUCAUCGAUGUGCUUCCGUUCAUAUCAUAUCAUUUCAAUAGAAAUAAGUUAACAUGGAAGAAAUCCAAACAGCUUUGGCUUUAACAACAUCAAGGGGAUGAUAUUAGGAUUAAGGGGAGAAAAUGAAUAAGGUGUCUCUUUUAACAAAUCUUUAUAACCCAUGAUACUCAACGGAUGAUAUGUUAGGCCAUCUUAUAUUAAUUCACACCAUUAAAUUUUUUUUAGAUGAUAUUUCAUAUUUUGUUUAUGGGUUCCUAUAGACAUGGAGGAGAUAACAAAGGUAAAUAAGUCGUCCCAUGUGUUUGAUCGAAUCUUGGAAUGAGAUGCUGCAAGAGGAUUUUACUAUCUUUCACCUAGAAAUACAAUUGAUUCUGGUAGGAAAAUCAACUACCCACAUGCCUGGACUAAACUUCGAAUAAUCCAAGCUUAUUGUCUCUAAAGAGAGACCAUCACAAACCUUACUAAACCCUUAUUUGACACAGCAGUUUUACUGUGAAAAAUUUACCUUCAAAAGGACUCCAUAAAUACUAUAGUACGUACUUCAAACAAACAUCACAUAAGAGAAGAACCGAAGGCAUGCAGGUGUUCAUUUCCUGCACACUAUUCCAUUGCCGCUGCCAACCCCACCAGUGCAGUCAAGUGUGGCAUAUUCCAUUGAUAGUAAGCCCUCUCCUGUCACGUUGUUGCUGGGAGAGAACAGGCAUGACUUACAGUCUGCCGAGAGAAUAGAACUAGUCCUGUACUUGUCCGCCCCACCAACAAUAGGCAUUGCAACACCCGCUUUUGCUGUAUUGUGGAAGUUAGGUUGGUAAGUCUGCCCAAGAACUCCCUCUACUUGAGCUGACAGAUUAAAGAACCUGAAUUGUGCUUCCAAGUGGGCGAAACUGUCGUUGGAAGGUAUCUGGUAAUUGUGGAUUCUGUUAUCUUCCUCCGUCACUGGAAUCACAUUAACUAAUAUCUCUACAGCUUCUGAGAGGGUGACUGUGGCGCUGUUCUUGCUUGCAAUUCUCUCCACUUUGAGAUUAUUUUCUGGAGAUGUCCAUUCCGAGUAGAGCCCUUCUGGAAUGGACAAAGCUUCUCCAUCAUAAGAGAACUGCAAGUGAUCUUCCUUGCCGUCCCAUUUUUCAGUUCUUGUGGCUUCAAGUGUAAAGGUGUGAGAGCCAAACAUGAGACCCAAGGCCUGGAUCCAUGUAUAGUCUCGGGUUCGUCCAGCAGGGCGGAGACCAAUGAAUCGGGAAUUGAUUUGGAGGUUGAUAUCAGAGACCAAGCUGAAAUGCUCAUUGCUCCUGCCAUGGAAGUAGAACAUGAUCCCGUCUCCACCUAUGAAACGAGGAUCAAAGCAGGCAGCUCCCACGCCAUUGCAAUUUGGUUUACGCCCUGUUUCAUCAAUAAUAAUACAGAUUACUUCCAUUUUCCUGAUAAUUCAAGACAGUCAUUGUAAACAGUUACUAAAAUUUGCAAGCAUAAUUCAUACCUCUGCAAACAGCCUCACAUUUGGGGGAGUAACAAUCAAGAAAGCAUCCCUUAGAUUUCCCAUCUUUCGGUUGGACCUUGGGACACUCAACUGGACAGGUUACAUAUUUCAAAAAGCAUUUGCUACCACGGUUGUAGCAUGUCACACGCUGUGGCUUGACAGGCGGUUGUGGUUUGCCUCCAGGACCUCUUGGUUUGCCUCCAGGACCUCUUGGUUUGCCUCCAGGACCUCUUGGUUUGCCUCCUGGACCUGAUGGUUUUCCUCCUGGACCUGUUGGUUUGCCUCCUGGACCUGUUGGUUUGCCUCCUGGACCUGUUGGUUUGCCUCCUGGACCUGUUGGUUUGCCUCCUGGACCUGUUUUGGCAGUACCUGCCCCUGCUUCCAUCACCCCCAAUGAGACACAUAAUAGGAGAACUAUCACCACGGAUUGAAUGCUUGAUGCCUUCAUUUUUUCCCCCCUCUAAUAGCAAAAAAGUAGACUCAAAACAUGCAGUUCAUACGAGAAAUGGAAUUUGAUAUGAAGUUAAUCCAUAGUCUUGCUGCUUAUAUAGGAUAUAGAAAGUGGAAUGAUGCUAAAUUUUGAGAAUUGGUUUGCUUAGAAUCCACAGAAAAAGGAGUGGGAAACUAACGAACAUAUUAAUUAAGAUGGGCUGAGUUUGGUUUCUGAAGACUUGCACAGUUCCACUCGGACUGUGGUAGUGGUGGUGGUGGUAAGCGGCCAAACAAUUGGCUGAAAAUAAAGUUGAAUCAAAACUUGAAGGCAUGUAUUGAAGUCUGUGUUGUCUGGUCACUGAUCCGCAGCUGGGUGUGGACUAGUGACUGCUGAGUAGUAUUGUUCUAUUAAACAAGAAUUUAGAUCUAAAUUUCUACCAUCAUGAGAAUAAACCAUGACUUCAACCAACCAAACAAUGACUUCGAUAAUAGAUAUAUUUAUUGUCUCUUAAAACACAAUCAAAGAUUAGUUCUUUUUAACAUUUUUUUUUCUGUUAUAAUAAGCUAGUAUGUUAAAAUAUAUUAAAAAACAAAAUAUAAAAAUAAUCUUAAUAAAUAAAUUAUUUAAAUUUUAGUAAACUAGCAAAAAAAACAAGUAACCAAAUAAAUCAAUUAUUUAAAAAAUUUUGUGAAAAGAGUAAUAUAUAUAUAUUAAAUAAUAAAAAGAAAUAUGGAAGAUUAUUUUAAACAAAAUUUGAGCACGCCGAGAUGCAUCCAGAGUCGGGGUAUGGACUAAUAUGAAUUAACAUUCUAAUAUGUCUGCGGUGGGCCAUAUACUUCUUUAAGCUUUUCGAUCAACCUUUGAUAGAAUUACAGUGUAUAUCCGAACUCGACGUCGGCUUCGCUUUUGACGUGGGAUAACGUGAUCUUCCAAUGAAAUAUUGACUUUGAGGUUGGUAUGCUUGGUUUGACGUACAACUUGCUAUGGUGCGAGUGCAACUACCAAAUUCUUGUCAGAUGAUCAAAUUAAUUAAGCUCGUGUUACCAUUAAAAAGACAUUACCAUGUGAAGCCAAUAAUGACUCUGGAGUACCAAAUGUUAGGUGUUUCAACAAGAAGUUAAAACUCAAAAGCAUCCACAUGGGCAUGAUCCAAUGGUUGAACUAUUUAUUGGAACGCACCAUAACAUUAAGGUUAUGUUUGGUUCUCGGAAAAUACUAAGGAAAGAAAAAAAAAUGUAAAGGAAAAUGAUUUUUUCAUAUUUGGUUGUCAUAUGAAAAAUAUAAAAUAAAAUCAAAUAUAAUUAAAACUAAUUAAAAGCUUAUAUAUUUUUAAAUUAUUUAAUAUUUAUAUUAAUGAGUUAAAAUAAAUAAAAUGAGUUUGAAGUAACAAAAAAAAUAAUUUAUCAAUUUUUAAUCUAUUUUUUUAUUUUCCUUCACUUUUUUUUUUCCUUCUACUUUUCCUUUAUAUUUUCUUUCCCUUGCAUUUUCCUUCAAAUUUUCUGGGAACCAAACAUAGCCUAAGGAUUUAGGGAUUUACGGUUAAAAACAAUAUGUAAGUACGAAUCCGAGUUACUUGGGAAAUGUUUUUAGUUCAAAACUUGUUUUUGAAAAAAAAAAAUGGAGCCAAUUUGGUAACUAUUGUCGAAAAUAAUUUUUUGUUCUCCACAAAAAAUUGUAUACUCUUUUAGUUUUUUUAUUUUAUUUUUACUUGUUUUCUAAAAGUUAUUUUAAAAAAUAAUUAUAUAAACAUGUAGAAUGAUUAAAAAUAAAAUACUAAAUAUAAAAAUUAUUUUUAAAACAUAUUUAAAAAUUUUACAAACAAGUUAAAAAAAAUUAAACUUCCAAACAAAUUUUUAUUCUAUAAAACAUCACAUAACAAUUUUUCAAAAACUGUUUUUCAAAAUUAUUUUAAAAAAUAGUUACCAAACGUCUUUAGAUGUUUGAUAAAAUUUAAAAAAAACUUCAAAAUAUAUGAAAAAUCACUUAUGGUAUUGAAGAAUCAAUUAUAAUAUUUAUAAAAGAAAUAUUUUAAUGGAUGAUUUUCUAAAAAACAUUUUUAUUAAAAACGAAUAAAAAUAUUACCAAAAGCAUUUUAGUUCAUUAUUCUUAAAGUUCAUUGCAAUCUUAAAGAGUCUAGCUACAAUAGCAGGAUUUUCUCCUCCGCCACUUAAUUUUUUUCACAAUUGAUUUAUUUUAAAAUUUAUUAGGAAACCUUCCAAACCUUUUUUAUAGUAUGUAUUUCGCCUUUCAAAAAAUUUUAGAAGUUUUAGAGCUAAUUUGGGAUAAAUUAAAAGUCCAAUGGUAGACUUUUAUAAUAUUAUACACUGUCUUGGGUCUACAUGCAUGCAUGCACCCUUGUGUGCCUUACCAAAUCAAUCCUUCUUUAGCAUCAAGACCUUUCAUCAUAUGUUACAGGGUUUCGUGACCUUCUCAACCAAGGUUCAUGCAUAUCCCAAUGCCAACAUGCAGCUCAUGCACCAAGUUACCAAUAUCCCUUAUUGUCUUCGCCACACAACUCACAUCCAAUAUUUGUCAUGCUCCGCUCCUAGCUCCGUGCAUGCACUCCUAGGUCUGACCCAAGCUAUUGCACACUUAAGUGUGUGUAAACCCUAAUGGUGUACCUACCCAUACUAGGCCAUAGUCAUUGCAGCAACUCUGAUACCAUGUUUGAUUGAUGAACCAUGAUAAAAAUUGUAGAGGGUUUUCUAUGUAUGAGUUUCAACAAUUCUAUUGACUUCUAAUCUACUCGAUUUUUAUACAUAGAUAGAUAUGGAUGAAACUAGAGAAUUCUGAAAGCAUAGAGAACUUUUCAUAAUAGAAAGUUGUUAGCUCUACUAACUAAUUACAGAGUUUGCUAAAACUAAUUAACAACUUGUUUUAAGUUUGACAGUAGCCGCAAGUGUUUCCAUCAACCCUAUGAGACACAUAAUAGCAUAACGAUGACCAUAGAUUGAAAGCAAGAUGCCUUCAUUUCCCCCCUAAUUGGCGAAAAAGAAAACUCAGAACAGUUAAUAAAGAAAUGCAAUUGAUAUGAAUUUGAUCCAUACUCUUGAUGCUUAUACAGGAUUUAGAAAGUGGAUUAAUGCUAAAAGUGGAGAACCGGCUUUCUUUGAGUCCGCCGGAAAAGGAGUGGGAAACUAACAAACAUAUAAACUAAGAUGGGCUGAGUCUGGUUUUGAAGACACUCUCUUGACCUGGUGGUAAGUAGCCAACAUUUGUUUGAGGGCUUCCUGUGGAGUCUUUGUUGCCUGGUCGUAGGUCCGCAGCCGGGCGAUGACUAUUAAUGAACUACGACUCUCGCUUUUCAACCUUUGUUAGAAUAAUUUGUAUGUAUAUCCUAAUUUAUGUGUAAUUAUCAUAUUUAGACACAUUCCCACUACAUAUUUAGACACAUGCCCACUACUUAUUGCCUUUGCUUUUGACAUGGAUUAAUAAUGUGAUCUCAUCCAUAAUCAAACAGGGACUUGAAAGUAAACAAGCGUUCAGAGAAGAGGUAGGGCUUAGUUUGACAAAAUUUCUAAAUGCCUAAUAAUCUUUGUCGACUGAUCAAAUUAACCUCGCACUGCAGCCACUACUAAAAGAAAUAUAGGUGUGGAUUUAGUCAAACAACUAAAUGAAAAUUAAUUUAGUAUAUUUCUCUUUAACUAAUCCUUACCACUAAGUUAAAAGCCUCCAAAACUUAAUAAAUGGUGGCUACUUGUGGCCCCACUAGAAAAGGUUAAAAAGCAAAUUAUUUUCACAAAAAAUUAUUAUUUGUUUGCAAGUUAGAAUUUAAAAAUAAAUGAUAUAGUUAAUUUUGGUUAAAUAUUUAAAGAUUUUGUUGUCUCUUUUUUUUUUUUUUCAUAUCUAGAUCAGUCAUUAUGGAUAAAUAAAUAAAAAUAAUAGGCUUUCCAAAUAACGAAAAAAAAUUAUUUAAUGAUAUAAUUUAAAAGGUUUAUUAUCUUUAUAAUCACCUAAUCUAAUGACAAAGUAUACAAUAACUUGACACACAGUAAUGAUGGUCCUCCAUCCAUAUCAUAUCAUUUCAUCGAAAUUUGUUAACAUAUCGGUUGACUUUAUACAAGAAUUUCUGAACAAUCCUUACUUUUAAUAUCAAUAUAUUGUCCAUGUUUAAUUCCUAAAAAGUUUGAAAAAAAAUACAAGAAAAAGAAAAUAAAGAGAAAAAAUAUGAGAGAAAAAGCUAAGGAAAAUAAAUAAAUAAAUUUAAAAUCCAUUUCAAACUCGUUUGUUUGAAUUUUUCAAUAUAAAGAUUAAAUAACUUAAAACUUAAUGAGUUUCUAAUUAGUUUUAAUUAUAUUUGAUUUUCUUUUAUUUUUUUCAUAAUACAACCAAACAUAAAAAAAAUUAUUUUCUUUAAUAAAUUUUUUCUUUUCAUAGUACUUUCCAAGAAUCAAACAUAACCCUUAGGAUGACAAGGAGAACCGAAGAAGAUAUAUUUUUUUAACAAAUCUUUAUAUCCCAUAAUAUGUUAGGCCACCUUUAUCCUAAUUCAUGACUAUAAAAAGAAAAAAAAAUUCCUUUUUUACAACAUUUAUUGGUUAUUUACAUGGUACUCAUAUUUUGAUCAGAGUUUCUAUAAGCAUGAAGGAGAAAACAAAGGUAAAUAAAUAAAAUUUCUAAUAAAUUUGGCUAUUAAAAAUAUGAUAGAAUAUUUCUUAAUUGAUGACAACAAGACUUGAGAAUAGUUGAAGGAAAAAAAAUUAUUAAGGACAAGUACAAGUUCUUAUACUAAAGAUUUUAUAGUAAAAUUUGUCAACUCGGUAUAAAUUAUAGGCUACUUAUGAAAGAGCUUAAACCUUUUUUUAGUUAAAUUAGUGGUUGAAAAUGUAAAAACCUUUUACUUUUUCUAUUGAAAGGCAAGAUUUUUUCCUCCCUUGAGGGGGUGGCUUUCCCCCUUUUUAUAGUUAUUUUUGUUAUUGCUAUGGGCUUUUUCUCUACCCUAGGCUUGCUCUUAGUUUUUUUGUCAAUCAUGCUACGUUGCUUUUGGGCCAAGUUAUUAGAUCAGGUAGGUUAUAUUGAUUGGUGGGAGGGUGGUGCAUCUGAUUGCCCAAGGUGAAGGUCGUCUGAUUUUAUGCAUCUCUAGCUAGUGGCGUAUCAUAAUAUUUCUAUAUGAUGGUUUUUUUUCUCUCUAGGUACAAGUAUGAGGCUUGAUUAAGCCCUAAUAUUAAUAGGAAAGGUUAUGAGAUGCGACCUCAUGAUGAUGCUAAAUAUAAUAUAAUUAAUCAUGUUAAUUCUAGAAUAAGAAAUUAGUGGAGUACUUUCCAUUUAAGGCACAAAAAGAGAUAGCCAUGUAGGUGAAAUAAGUUGUCCCUUGUGUUUGAUUGAAUCUUGGAAUGAGACGCUGCAAGAGGAUUUUACAAUUGAUUCUGGUAGGAAAAUUAACCGACCAGAUACUUGGACUAAACUUCGAAUAAUCCAAGCUUAUUGUCCUUAAAGAGAGACCAUCACAAACCUCACUAAACCCUUAUUUGACACAGCGGUUUUACUGUGAAAAAUUUACCUUCAAAAGGGCUCCAUAAAUACUAUAUAUAUAGUACGUACUUCAAACAAACAUCACAUAAAGGAAGAACCGAAGGCAUGCAGGUGUUCAUUUCCUGCACACUAUUCCAUUGCCGCUGCCAACCCCACCGGUGCAGUCAAGUGUGGCAUAUUCCAUUGAUAGUAAGCCCUCUCCUGUCACGUUGUUGCUGGGAGAGAACAGGCAUGACUUACAGUCUGCCGAGAGAAGAGAACUAGUCCUGUACUUGUCCGCCCCACCAACAAUAGGCAUUGCAACACCCGCUUUUGCUGUAUUGUGGAAGUUAGGUUGGUAAGUCUGCCCAAGAACUCCCUCUACUUGAGCUGACAGAUUAAAGAACCUGAAUUGUACUUCCAAGUGGGCGAAACUGUCGUUGGAAGGUAUCUGGUAAUUGUGGAUUCUGUUAUCUUCCUCCGUCACUGGAAUCACAUUAACUGAUAUCUCUACAGCUUCGGAGAGGGUGACU